UUUCAGGCUGCUGAGAAACUAGGU
rnacentral:piRNA from 1 species